rnacentral:lncRNA from 1 species
CAGAAAAUUAAACGUAGAGUAAUAAACGACCAAGAGACAGAGGAAGCGUGUAAAUAUUUUACAGACUUCUUGGCUAAUGUUGGAAAUAGUUGAAAUUUACUUCUGAUAUUUUGUUAAAAUACAUUAUUUUGUAUGUCAAUGAUUAUUUAUAACGGUUGGAAGUUUUACCUGUAAUGCUAUAUAUACCUGAUUAUACCAUAAAACACCACC